rnacentral:rRNA from 1 species
GAUGAACGCUGGCGGCGUGCCUAAUACAUGCAAGUCGAGCGAACAGACGAGGAGCUUGCUCCUCUGACGUUAGCGGCGGACGGGUGAGUAACACGUGGAUAACCUACCUAUAAGACUGGGAUAACUUCGGGAAACCGGAGCUAAUACCGGAUAAUAUAUUUAACCGCAUGGUUCAAUAGUGAAAGACGGUUUUGCUGUCACUUAUAGAUGGAUCCGCGCCGCAUUAGCUAGUUGGUAAGGUAACGGCUUACCAAGGCAACGAUGCGUAGCCGACCUGAGAGGGUGAUCGGCCACACUGGAACUGAGACACGGUCCAGACUCCUACGGGAGGCAGCAGUAGGGAAUCUUGCGCAAAGGGCGAAAGCUUGACGGAGCAACGCCGCGUGAGUGAGGAAGGUCUUCGGAUCGUAAAACUCUGUUAUUAGGGAAGAACAAAUGUGUAAGUAACUAUGCACGUCUUGACGGUACCUAAUCAGAAAGCCACGGCUAACUACGUG